GAUGAACGCUGGCGGCGUACCUAAUACAUGCAAGUCGAGCGAACAGACGAGGAGCUUGCUCCUCUGAUGUUAGCGGCGGACGGGUGAGUAACACGUGGAUCACCUCCCUAUAAGACUGGGAUCACUUCGGGAACCCGGAGCUAAUACCGGAUAAUAUAUUGAACCGCAUGGUUCAAUAGUGCACGCCGGUUUUGCUGUCACUUAUAGAUGGAUCCGCGCCGCAUUAGCUAGUUGGUAAGGUAACGGCUUACCAAGGCGACGAUGCGUAGCCGACCUGAGAGGGUGAUCGGCCACACUGGAACUGAGACACGGUCCAGACUCCUACGGGAGGCAGCAGUAGGGAAUCUUCCGCAAUGGGCGAAAGCCUGACGGAGCAACGCCGCGUGAGUGAUGAAGGUCUUCGGAUCGUAAAACUCUGUUAUUAGGGAAGAACAAAUGUGUAAGUAACUAUGCACGUCUUGACGGUACCUAAUCAGAAAGCCACGGCUAACUACGUG
rnacentral:rRNA from 1 species